rnacentral:rRNA from 1 species
UACGUAGGGGGCGAGCGUUGUCCGGAUUUAUUGGGCGUAAAGAGCUCGUAGGCGGUUUGGCAAGUCGGGUGUGAAAACUCCGGGCUCAACUCGGAGACGCCACUCGAUACUGCCAUGACUCGAGUCCGGUAGGGGAGUGCGGAAUUCCUGGUGUAGCGGUGAAAUGCGCAGAUAUCAGGAGGAACACCGGUGGCGAAGGCGGCACUCUGGGCCGGUACUGACGCUGAGGAGCGAAAGCGUGGGGAGCGAACAGGA